rnacentral:rRNA from 1 species
GCGAGUGGCGAACGGGUGAGUAAUGCAUCGGAACGUAUCUAGUUGUGGGGGAUAGCCCGGCGAAAGCCGGAUUAAUACCGCAUAAGCCCUGAGGGGGAAAGCGGGGGACCUGCGAGGGCCUUGCGCGAUUGGAGCGGCUGAUGUCGGAUUAGCUGGUUGGUGGGGUAAAGGCUUACCAAGGCGACGAUCCGUAGCGGGUCUGAGAGGACGAUCCGCCACACUGGGACUGAGAGACGGCCCAG